UUUGGUCCUCGUCAUUGUGUUUGAAAAAUAAAGCUUAUAAUUUGCAAGUUUUAAUAUCUAGCAUAAUAUUAAUUUUGCCAUCUAUCAAGCUGCUCAUGAAUUUGGUAUUUUUACAAUGUAAUUACAGUUUGAUGUGUGUAUAAAGGUCAACAUGUGAAAUUUCCUCUAUCCAAAGAAUAAACUUGUGCUACCAUGUAUGUACGCGUCUUUCUCCAUUACCGACUCUCUCUUUGCCUCCUCCCCCCAACAUUCUUCCAUCCUCAAAUUCUUCCCCUA
rnacentral:misc_RNA from 1 species